UCCUCACUUGCACUUUACUUACUGACCCAAACCCAUUCAAACCCAAAAACUCCCAAAAACUCUCAGCCUCUCUCUCUCAUCCUCUAGGUCUCCUCUCUACUGAAACACCAAAAGUGAUUCAGUUCAGCAAGCAGACCAAAGUGAUUCGGUCCGGCGGUGGAGGGCUUCCGGCCACAUUGCUUUGUUUACCCAACCCAAGCCCUAGAUCCCCAAAUCUCCUUCAUUGACAACCAACAAAAGGAGUAACAUGUCAAUGGUUUACACCUCCACUAGUUCAACCAACGAUGGUCGCCUUUUCGAAAAUUGAGGUUGCAAAUGUGGCAAAAAAACGGCCGUUAAGAUAUCAGACUCACAAAAAAAUCCAAGGAGGCUUUACUUCAAGUGUGCAGAUGGCAGGUGCGAUUACUUUGCAUGCGAUUACUUUGCAUGGUGGGCACCUACUAGCCAACAUGGCAAUGCAUCAAAUAUCCAAUGGAGGCCUAAUUCUAUUCAUAGGAAUAAUGAAGAUGAGGGGGAGAAGAAUGAUUCUGAAAGAAACAAUGUUAAUAUGUUUAAUGUUAAAAUGAAUGCUGUAAACUUAGAUGUUAAUGUGCUGGUUUAGCUUUAAAAUGAAUGAACGUUUUAGCUUUUCCUUCUUGUUGAACAGUCAUUUUCUUGUGGAUGAAUGAAUGAAUGUUUUUGUAUAGUAAA